rnacentral:rRNA from 1 species
AGUUUGAUCCUGGCUCAGAUUGAACGCUGGCGGCAGGCCUAACACAUGCAAGUCGAACGGUAACAGAGAGUAGCUUGCUACUUUGCCGACGAGUGGCGGACGGGUGAGUAAUGUCUGGGGAUCUGCCUGAUGGAGGGGGAUAACUACUGGAAACGGUAGCUAAUACCGCAUAAUGUCGCAAGACCAAAGCGGGGGACUUUCGGGCCUCGCACCAUCAGAUGAACCCAGAUGGGAUUAGCUAGUAGGUAGGGUAAUGGCUUACCUAGGCGACGAUCCCUAGCUGGUCUGAGAGGAUGACCAGCCACACUGGAACUGAGACACGGUCCAGACUCCUACGGGAGGCAGCAGUGGGGAAUAUUGCACAAUGGGCGCAAGCCUGAUGCAGCCAUGCCGCGUGUAUGAAGAAGGCCUUCGGGUUGUAAAGUACUUUCAGUCAGGAGGAAGGGUGUGAAAUUAAUACUUUCAUGCAUUGACGUUACUGACAGAAGAAGCACCGGCUAACUCCGUGCCAGCAGCCGCGGUAA